ensembl:lncRNA
GUCAAAGGUCACUUUUGGGGGUCAAAGGUCGCGAAUGGGGGUCAAAGGUCACAUAUGUGGGCUCAGGGGACACAGAUUUGGGGUCAAAGGUCGCAUAUUUGGGGUCAAAGGUCACAUAUGUGGGCUCAGGGGACACAGAUUUGGGGUCAAAGGUCGCCGUUUGGGGUCAAAUGUCACCAUUUUGGGGUCAAAGAGCGCCGAUAUGGGGUCAAAGGUCACCGAUAGGGGGUCAAAGGGUACGUAUAUGGGGUCAAAGGUCACAUAUAUGGGCUCAGAGGACACAGAUUUGGGGUCAAAGGUCAUAUUUUGGGGUCAAAGGUCACAUUUUGGGGUCAAAGGGCACCGAUAUGGGGUCAAAGGUCACAUAUAUGGGGUCAGAGGUGGACAUGUGGGGUCAAAGGUCGCAUAUUUGGGGUCAAAGGGCACACAUAUGGGGUCAAAGGUCCCCAUUUGGGGUCAAAGGUCACAUAUUUGGGGACAAAGGUCACAUAUAUGGGCUCAGAGGACACAUAUUUGGGGUCAAAGGUCGCCAUUUGGGGUCAAAGGUCACGAAUGGGGGUCAAAGGUCACAUAUAUGGGCUCAGGGGACACAGAUUUGGGGUCAAAGGUCACAUUUAGGGGUCAAAGGUCACGAUUGGGGGUCAAAUGUCGCCAUUUUGGGGUCAAAGGGUACAUAUAUGGGGUCAAAGGUCGCAUAUUUGGGGUCAAAGGUGAACAUUUGGGGUCAAAGGUCACAUUUUGGGGUCAAAGGUCACAUAUUUGGGGACAAAGGUCACAUAUAUGGGCUCAGGUGACACAGAUUUGGGGUCAAAGGUCGCCGUUUGGGGGUCAAAGGUCGCCGAUAUGGGGUCAAAGGUCACGUAUAUGGGCUCAGAGGACACAGAUUUGGGGUCAAGGGUCGCCAAUAUGGGGUCAAAGGUCACGAAUGGGGGUCAACGGUCGCCAUUUUGGGGUCAAAGGGCACCGAUAUGGGGUCAAAGGUCAAAUUUGGGGGUCAAAGGUCGCCAAGAUGGCCUCAUGGGACACAGAUUUGGGGUCAAAGGUCAUAUUUUGGGGUCGAAGGUCGCCAUUUUGGGGUCAAAGGUCACACAUAUGGGCUCAGGGGACACAGAUUUGGGGUCAAAGGUCAUAUUUUGGGGUCAAAGGUGAACAUUUGCAGUCAAAGGACACCAAUAUGGGGUCAAAGGUCACCCAUAUGGGGUCAAAGGUCACAUAUAUGGGCUCAGAGGACACAUAUUUGGGGUCAAAGGUCGCCAUUUGGGGUCAAAGGUCACGAAUGGGGGUCAAAGGUCACAUAUAUGGGCUCAGAGGACACAGAUUUGGGGUCAAAGGUCGCAUAUUUGGGGUCAAAGGUCGCAUAUUUGGGGUCAAAGGUCACCAUUUUGGGGUAAAAGGUGAACAUUUGGGGUCAAAGGUCACAUUUUGGGGUCAAAGGUGAACAUUUGGGAUCAAAGGUCACAUUUUGGGGUCAAAGGGCACCGAUAUGGGGUCAAAGGUCACAUAUAUGGGCUCAGGGGACACAGAUUUGGGGUCAAAGGUCACAUUUUGGGGUCAAAGGUCACGAUUGGGGGUCAACGGUCGCUAUUUUGGGGUCAAAGGGCACACAUAUGGGGUCAAAGGUCACUUUUGGGGGUCAAAGGUCGCGAAUGGGGGUCAAAGGUCACAUAUGUGGGCUCAGGGGACACAGAUUUGGGGUCAAAGGUCACCAAUAUGGGGUCAAAGGUCGCAUAUUUGGGGUCAAAGGUCACAUAUAUUGGCUCAGGGGACACGUCUUUGGGGUCAAAGGUCACAUUUUGGGGUCAAAGGUCGCAUAUUUGGGGUCAAAGGUCACAUAUAUGGGCUCAGAGGGCACAUAUUUGGGGUCAAAGUUCGUAUAUUUGGGGUCAAAGGUCACAUAUGUGGGCUCAGGGGACACAUACUUGGGGUCAAAGGUCACAUUUGGGGGUCAAAGGUCGCGAUUUGGGGUCAACGGUCGCCAUUUUGGGGUCAAAGGUCACGAUUGGGGGUCAACUGUCGCCAUUUUGGGGUCAAAGGGCACCGAUAUGUGGUCAAAGGUCACGAAUGGGGGUCAAAGGUCCCAUAUACGGGCUAAGAGGACACAGAUUUGGGGUCAAAGGUCAUAUUUUGGAAUCAAAGGUCGCCAUUUUGGGGUCAAAGGGUACAUAUAUGGGGUCAAAGGUCGCAUAUUUGGGGUCAAAGGUCACAUUUGGGAAUCAAAGGGCACCGAUAUGGGGUCAAAGGUCACAUAUAUGGGCUCAGGUGACACAGAUUUGGGGUCAAAGGUCACUUUUGGGGGUCAAAGGUCACGAUUGGGGGUCAACGGUCGCCAUUUUGGGGUCAAAGGUCACGAAUGGGGGUCAAAGGUCACAUAUAUAGGCUCAGGGGACACAGAUUUGGGGUCAAAGGUCGCAUAUUUGGGGUCAAAGGUCACCAUUUUGGGGUCAAAGGUGAACAUUUGGGGUCAAAGGUCACAUUUUGGGGUCAAAGGUGAACAUUUGGGGUCAAAGGUCACAUUUUGGGGUCAAAG